rnacentral:lncRNA from 1 species
AAAAGGUCAAGAAUAUUAUGUAGAGUAAGAAAUUUUCAGGGCAUAAGAYCAUUAGAUCAUUUAGUCUCAUCACCUGUAUAACACAUGGUAAAUAAUCUCACCCAGUAUCCUUGGAUUUCAGCCAAGUAUCUUGUGUUAAAAAUAUGCAUAUUUAACAAGACAUCAAGUCCUGAUCUGAAGACACCGAAAGACAAAAAGUGUACCRGUCCUUUGGUACAGUGUUUCCGCAAUAAAAUAUGUGCGUUGUUACAUCAUUCUGAACUAAUCCAGAAAUUUUUAAAGAUGGCUAUACCUGUCUCUAGAUGAAUGRCUUUACAUGUUCAGAUCUUCCCAUGAUUUCUUUCUUUUUAAGAGACAUAGAAGUUAAUGUACAAAAAGAAGCAACAGUACUCACUACAGAAUUGAUUUCUCUUUUUGUGAGACGACUCUUCAAGUGGCAACACGUCAUCUGUGGGAAGACAUCCUGCCAAAAAGAGAACAAAAGAUACGUUGAGAAUGAGAAACUGGUUUGGACAGUGCCUGACUUUUGAGAUCACUGAACGACCUGAAAUUUAGAAUGAAAGCUCCCAAACUGAGACAGUUAUUAAUCUGCGUUAGCAAGAGCAUGGUGUAACUUCAGCAUCUGAUUCAAUCCUACAGACGUGUGGAACUUCAGACCACUUCCAGGACUGGAAAUCUUCAUGGGCAGAAAAGGUACUGAGUGCUAUAAAGAAGACUCUUGUCAAAGUUGCUGCUUUUGAAAGGAUGCC